rnacentral:rRNA from 1 species
CCUACGUGAGGCAGCAGUGAGGAAUAUUGGUCAAUGGGCGCGAGCCUGAACCAGCCAAGUAGCGUGAAGGAUGACUGCCCUACGGGUUUUAAACUUCUUUUAUAAAGGAAUAAAGUGACCCACGUAUGCAUUUUUGUAUUUACUUUAUUAAUAAGGAUCGUCUAACUCCGUGCCAUCAGCCGCGGUAAUACGGAGAAUCCAAGCAUUAUACGGAUUUAUUGGGUUUAAAGGGAUCGUAUAGGGGUUGUUAAGUCAGUUGAGAAAGUGUGCGGCUCAACCUUAAAAUUGCAUGUGAUACUGGCAGUCUUGAGUACAGUUGGGGUAGGCGGAAGUCGUGGUGUAGCGGUGAAAUGCUGAGAUAGCACGAAGAACUCCGAUUGCGAAGGGAGUGUACUAAACUGACACUGACAUUGAUGCGCGAAAGUGUGGGUAUAAAACAGGAUUAGAUACCCUAGUAGUC